UUAAUAUUUUAUUGAAUGUCUAUAAACAUGUAACAUGUCAAUUUCAACAAUGUUGAAUUUAACUCUUGUAGACUUGAUUGCCAAGAAAUAACAAUCUUUAAUUAAUCAAAUAUUUAAAAAAUUAUUUAAAAAUCAAAUUACUCAAUGCUUUCCCCUAAUAUAAGAAUUAUGAUAGUGUGGGAUAUGGGUGUAUUCUGACUCUGAUGUGUAAUGGGACAUGGAGCUUCCAAAGGCAGGAGCACCUAGGGCCUGUGAAGGUCACAAAACCAGCCUAAGUAAUAAGAUUUUAAGAGCAUCCUGGAUGUGCUCAAGUCUCUCCGCAUCCUCUCCAAACCAAAUGCAACUGCCCACCAUUUCAUCAUCAAAGCUGUAUUGCUCCAACUGUUAAAAUGAAAAUAUGGUUAGGAAGAUUUAA